CCUUCACAGAGAGCCGCGGAAGGAUCCCAAUGUGCAGUGUGAAGGCGGUGGCCGGUGCUCUAUAAUCUUAUUCCACGGAGCAGCGCAGCAGCCUUCAAAAGUGCAUCUUAUGGUCAGGAACGUUUUAUGGAGCGAAAAAUACAAUUCCUGAGCUGUCCUCUUCUAGAUCUGCCAGAAUUCUCAUGAAGAGGCUUUUGGACAACUUUAUUUGGCACAGAAGCGUCCACGAGUACCCAGGAAGGCUAUGAACCACCGCAGACUAUCA